GAUGAACGCUGGCGGUAUGCUUAACACAUGCAAGUCGUACGAAGAUAAAAUUGUGCUUGCACGAUUUUAUACUUAGUGGCGGACGGGUGAGUAACACGUAAGAAUCUACCUUUUGGCGAGGGACAACCACUGGAAACGGUGGCUAAUACCUCAUAUAACUGAGAAGUGAAAGAUGAAAAUCACCAAGAGAUGAGCUUGCGUCUGAUUAGCUAGUUGGUAAGGUAAAGGCUUACCAAGGCGACGAUCAGUAGCUGGUCUGAGAGGAUGAUCAGCCACACUGGGACUGAGACACGGCCCAGACUCCUACGGGAGGCAGCAGUGGGGAAUUUUCCGCAAUGGGCGAAAGCCUGACGGAGCAACGCCGC
rnacentral:rRNA from 1 species